GGGUCUCUGGCAUGAUGAUUUGGGACAGACAAUAAAAAUCACAUUGCCAGGGAUUACUA
rnacentral:pre_miRNA from 1 species